rnacentral:rRNA from 1 species
UACGUAGGUGGCGAGCGUUGUCCGGAUUUACUGGGCGUAAAGGGCGUGCAGGCGGUUUGUUAAGUGCAGGGUGAAAGCUCCCGGCUCAACUGGGAGAGGUCCUUGCAUACUGGCGAACUCGAGGGAGGCAGAGGAAAGUGGAAUUCCCGGUGUAGUGGUGAUAUGCGUAGAUAUCGUAAGGAAGACCAGUGGCGAAGGCGGGUCUCUGGACAGUUCCUGACGCUGAGGCACGAAGGCCAGGGGAGCAAACGGG